GGAGGCGAACCCGCUGAACUGAAACAUCUAAGUAGGCGGAGGAGAAGAAAACAAAAGUGAUUCCGUAAGUAGUGGCGAGCGAACGCGGAAUAGCCCAAACCAAAGUUGUUACGGCAAUUUUGGGGUUGUAGGACCACGAGAUUUCUUGCGGAUUUAAUUAGAAUUACCUGGAAAGGUAAACCGAAGAGGGUGAUAGUCCCGUAUAAGUAAGAGAAGAUAAGAAUAGUGGUAUCCUGAGUAGGUCGGGGCACGUGAAACCUUGAUUGAAACUGGCGGGACCAUCCGCUAAGGCUAAAUACUCCUGAGAGACCGAUAGUGAACCAGUACCGUGAGGGAAAGGUGAAAAGAACCGUGAAUAACGGAGUGAAACAGAUCCUGAAACCAUACGCCUACAAGCGGUCGGAGCUUCUACGUGAAGUGACGGCGUGCCUUUUGCAUAAUGAGCCUACGAGUUACCGUUGCUGGCAAGGAUAAGUGAUUAAGUCAUGGAUCCGUAGCGAAAGCGAGUCUUAAUAGGGCGCUUAAGUCAGUAGUGGUAGACGCGAAACCGUGUGAUCUACCCAUGGGCAGGUUGAAGUUUAGGUAACACUAAAUGGAGGACCGAACCGUUUAACGCUGAAAAGUUUUCGGAUGACCUGUGGGUAGGGGUGAAAGGCCAAUCAAACUCGGAAAUAGCUCGUACUCCCCGAAAUGCAUUUAGGUGCAGCGAUGAUCGAUAGUUACUUAGAGGUAGAGCUACUGAUUGGAUGCGGGGGCUUCACCGCCUACCAAUUCCUGACAAACUCCGAAUGCUAAGUAAUGAUAAUCAUCAGUGAGGGCAUGGGUGCUAAGGUCCAUGUCCGAGAGGGAAAGAACCCAGACCAUCAGCUAAGGUCCCCAAAUGUAUGCUAAGUUGAAAAAACGCGGUUUGAUUGCCCAGACAGCUAGGAUGUUGGCUUGGAAGCAGCCAUUCAUUUAAAGAGUGCGUAACAGCUCACUAGUCGAGCGAUCGAGCAUGGAUAAUAAUCGGGCAUAAGUAUACUACCGAAGCUAUGGAUUUGCGCAUUUAGUUGCGUGAGUGGUAGGGGAGCAUUCUAACGGCGCAGAAGGUGAUUUGUGAGAAUUGCUGGAGCUUUUAGAAAAGAAAAUGUAGGCAUAAGUAACGAUAAGGGGUGCGAGAAACACCCCCGCCGUAAGACUAAGGUUUCCUCAGCUAUGCUAAUCAGCUGAGGGUUAGUCGGGACCUAAGGCACACCCGAAGGGGGACGUCGAUGGCCAACGGGUUAAUAUUCCCGUACUACUGAUAAUUGUGAUGGAGUGACACAGUGAUGAAAGCACCGCGAACUGACGGAAUAGUUCGUUGAAGCACGUACCUAUAGGUUUGAUAGUAAAAUGCGUCAGACUUGGAGAAAUGCGAUAGUACUUUGAGUCUUCGGACAACGAGAUAGUGUGCCUAAGGGCUGUCAAGAAAAGCUUCUAAACUUAGAUUAUUAGUACCCGUACCGUAAACCGACACAGGUAGUCGAGGAGAGUAUCCUAAGGCGCUCGAGAGAUUCAUGGCUAAGGAACUAGGCAAAAUAGACCUGUAACUUCGGGAGAAAGGUCGCCAGCGCAAGCUGGCCGCAGUGAAAAGGUCCAGGCGACUGUUUAUCAAAAACACAGGGCUCUGCAAAAUCGUAAGAUGACGUAUAGGGCCUGACACCUGCCCGGUGCUGGAAGGUUAAGAGGAGAUGUUAUCUUCGGAGAAGCAUUGAAUUGAAGCCCCAGUAAACGGCGGCCGUAACUAUAACGGUCCUAAGGUAGCGAAAUUCCUUGUCGG
rnacentral:rRNA from 1 species